GAUGAAGAACGUAGCGAAAUGCGAUAAGUAAUGUGAAUUGCAGAAUUCAGUGAGUCAUCGAAUCUUUGAACGCACAUUGCGCCCUUUGGUAUUCCGAAGGGCAUGCCUGUUCGAGCGUCAUUAUCACCCCUCAAGCCCGGCUUGGUGUUGGACGUCUAGCCAGUCUCUUAGGAGCCGGCUCGCCCCAAAGAUAAUGACGGUGGUCUGUGAAGUCACCAGUACGACGAGCCCCUGGGCAUGUACUGUUCUCGAGUUCCAGCGCCGGUCUCGCUCACGACGUGAGCACUUUUUUUCUGAAAGGUUGACCUCGGAUCAGGUAGGGAUACCCGCUGAACUUAAGCAUAUCAAUAAGCGGAGGA
rnacentral:misc_RNA from 1 species